UUGAUGAAACAUAUAGUGCAUGGUGGCCCACACACAAACCUAUGAUCAUCAUCUCAUUCUUACUUCUUCAUAUGGUAUGAGCCAUUUGAGCUGUAGAUCUAGCUGAGUUUUCGCCUUACUACCUAAGGUCAAGUUCAAAAGCUGAGGGAUGGAGUGGAUUUAUAUUUAAAACAUUGUGAGCCCUACAUACUUAACUCUAAUCCACUGAUCAUUAGAUCCAAUACAUAUUUACCAUGGGAAAAUCACACCAAUUUACAAAUAUUAACCAUUUUAUAGUGGUCUUUAAUAUGAUUGUUCAAGAUCAUUUACACAAAAUAAGUCACCAUAAACAAUCUGAUCCAUCUAUUUGUUGAAAAAUGGCAGAAUGAGAUAAAGGACCUUCGAGUGCUUGAUGCAUCAAAUGAACAAGCCAGUAACCGUUUGUACAAUGCUCGGUAUCUACUUCAGAAUGUUCACAUGAACUCUUGAAACAAGCAGGAAGCAGCUGCAUGCAAUUCUGUUCAAGUGAGGGGCCUUGAGCCUUGGGGCUUUUUCAGUGUGGUACACUGGACUUCGAUUGAAAAAGUAGGGAAAAAGACCUUUAAAAUCACAUUUAAGACAACCCUCUUUAACUGAGAUUCUUUGACAUUAACAGCGCUUGUGUAGGAGAAUUACAUCUCACAUGGAGAAACAGGUACUAAAAAGUAGACUGUGAACAAGCAUGAAGCCAAUAAGCACAUACGCACUACAUAGCAUCUCAAAGCAGGAAGUUGCAGGGAUCAUCAAGCUUUCAGCACCAUCCAGUUUCCGUCUAUUUGAAAACUAAAAAAUUGGUGAUUUAAUAGCCAUGGAUGCUGAUGCAACCUUAGAACUGCAUAAGAGAGGGGUGGCUACAACUGGUGACAACAGCAAGUUCAUAUGGCAUCGGUUACAGGUAUCUCUCAGCUUCAAUUUUUCCCGAAUUUCAGUUUCAGGUAUCUCUCACUUCAAUUUUAUCCGAAUUUCAGUUUCAGGUAUAUCUCAGCUUCAAUUUCAGUUCCAGUGUUGUCAGAGCACUAUAAGACAUGGUGCUUCUAGUUUCAUUGGGACACUUAGACAGUCCAACCAUUGAUCACGAUUGUUCAUUGGGUUCACUGCACAUUUCAUGAGCUAUCAUGCGAACAUCACAUCGAUUUGACAAAUAAGAACCAUUUGAUCAAUAGUUCUUUAAUAUGGAUGGUCAAGAAAAUUUAUACAAAGGUAGGUCCAAACACCAAUUUGAUCCGUCUAUUUGUUAGGGCCUGCCAUGGAUUGCUUAUGGAUCUAAAGAAUCACUUUUGUUAAGCAAUCGUAACCAUCACAUCCAUGGCUUUGAAAAUGGAUGGCUAUGGAAAGUAAGGCCAAAUCAAUGAUGGAUGGGAUAUUCUGAUCGGUAUGAUUUUUGUAUGAUACUUAUGAAAGUGUUCUGGACUUAACAGACAGUUUGGAUAGACUAAAUGGACUGUCCCAAUGAACCAAUGCAACUAGGAGACUUACCUUGUAGUGCUCUAAGGGCACUGGAGCAGUUCUCUCUUUUGAGUCAUGCUCUAUCCCCAGUUAGGUUAAUGAUUUGAAUGGCCUAGAUUAAUGUUCCCUCCGUUUUAUCCAAUACAAUGAGCACUCUCUAGGGCGUUUUUGGACUUGAUCCUUUUUCCUUGUAUGAAGUAUUUACUUGUGGAAUGUAGUUAUGUAGUUCUAUUUGAUUGAUUCUUGUCCUUUUUUGUGAUUU